GAUGAACGCUGGCGGCGUGCUUAACACAUGCAAGUCGAACGGAAAGGCUCCUGCUUGCAGGGGUACUCGAGUGGCGAACGGGUGAGUAACACGUGGGUGAUCUGCCCUGCACUUCGGGAUAAGCCUGGGAAACUGGGUCUAAUACCGGAUAGGACGAUGGUUUGGAUGCCAUUGUGGAAAGUUUUUUCGGUGUGGGCUGAGGUCGCGGCCUAUCAGCUUGUUGGUGGGGUAAUGGCCUACCAAGGCGUCGACGGGUAGCCGGCCUGAGAGGGUGUACGGCCACAUUGGGACUGAGAUACGGCCCAGACUCCUACGGGAGGCAGCAGUGGGGAAGAUUGCACAAUGGGCGCAAGCCUGAUGCAGCGACGCCGCGUGGGGGAUGACGGCCCUCGGGUUGUAAACUCCUUUCGCUAGGGACGAAGCGCAAGUGACGGUACCUGGAGAAGAAGCACCGGCUAACUACGU
rnacentral:rRNA from 1 species